rnacentral:rRNA from 4 species
CUGAAGGAACGUUGAAGACGACGACGUUGAUAGGCCGGGUGUGUAAGCGCAGCGAUGCGUUGAGCUAACCGGUACUAAUGAACCGUGAGGCUUAACCUUACAACGCCGAAGGUGUUU